AGAGGGUGGGUCUGAGAUGAGGAUGUGUGUGGUUGGAGGACUCUGGACAGCACCCCUAAAUGUUCUCUCCUGAUACAUGGGUGCUCAACAGACCUUGGGAUCCCACAACAGAAGGCUCACCUGGCCACACCCUCAUCAGCCUUCUGUCUCCUUUCUGCCAGCUUCAAGGACCGUCUCUAGAACCCUAGGAGCCUUUCUGUGACCAGCGCCCAUGAAGCAGGUCACGAUCCAUCUCUGGGUACCAGAAUCCUGAAUCUGCGUGAUGAGGAGCCAGAAAAGGCCCUCUGGAUGACAGCGGCACAUUCCUCCUCCUCCUUCCUCUUUGUGGUGGUGACAAUGGGCUCGUACAAC